rnacentral:rRNA from 1 species
UGGGGAAUAUUGGACAAUGGGGGCAACCCUGAUCCAGCCAUGCCGCGUGGGUGAAGAAGGCCUUCGGGUUGUAAAGCCCUUUUGUACGGGAAGAAAAGCGUCUGGUUAAUAACCGGGCGUGAUGACGGUACCGUAAGAAUAAGCACCGGCUAACUUCGUGCCAGCAGCCGCGGUAAUACGAAGGGUGCAAGCGUUACUCGGAAUUACUGGGCGUAUAGCGUGCGUAGGCGGUGAGUUAAGUCUGAUGUGAAAUCCCCGGGCUCAACCUGGGAAUGGCAUUGGAUACUGGCUCGCUAGAGUACGGUAGAGGGUGGUGGAAUUCCCGGUGUAGCAGUGAAAUGCGUAGAGAUCGGGAGGAACAUCUGUGGCGAAGGCGGCCACCUGGACCAGUACUGACGCUGAGGCACGAAAGCGUGGGGAGCAAACAG